GCUUACGGCCAUACCACCCUGAGAACGCCCGAUCUCGUCCGAUCUCGGAAGCUAAGCAGGGUCAGGCCUGGUUAGUACUUGGAUGGGAGACCGCCUGGGAAUACCAGGUGCUGUAAGCUU
rnacentral:rRNA from 1 species